CUGGCGGCACGCCUAAUACAUGCAAGUCGAACGAAGUAGCAAUACUUAGUGGCAGACGGGUGAGUAACAUGUAGGUAUCUUCCCAUUGGUGAGGAAUAACACGAGGAAACUUGUGCUAAUACCUCAUAAGUCUUUACGGAGAAAGCUUUAUGCGCCGAUGGAUGAGCCUGCACUUGAUUAGUUUGUUGGUAGGGUAAUGGCCUACCAAGACAAUGAUCAAUAGCUGAUUUGAGAGGAUGAUCAGCCACAUUGGGACUGAGACACGGCCCAAACUCCUACGGGAGGCAGCAGUAGGGAAUCUUGCACAAUGGGGGAAACCCUGAUGCAGCGAUGCCGCGUGAGUGAAGAAGGCCUUUGGGUUGUAAAGCUCUUUCGUCGGGGAAGAAAAUGACUGUACCCGAAUA
rnacentral:rRNA from 1 species